rnacentral:rRNA from 1 species
CACGAACGCUGGCGGCAGGCUUAACACAUGCAAGUCGAGCGCACCGCAAGGGGAGCGGCAGACGGGUGAGUAACGCGUGGGAAUCUACCCACCUCUACGGAAUAACGCAUGGAAACGUGUGCUAAUACCGUAUACGUCCUUCGGGAGGAAGAUUUAUCGGAGAAGGAUGAGCCCGCGUUGGAUUAGCUAGUUGGUAGGGUAAAGGCCUACCAAGGCGACGAUCCAUAGCUGGUCUGAGAGGAUGAUCAGCCACACUGGGACUGAGACACGGCCCAGACUCCUACGGGAGGCAGCAGUGGGGAAUAUUGGACAAUGGGCGCAAGCCUGAUCCAGCCAUGCCGCGUGAGUGAUGAAGGCCCUAGGGAUGUAAAGCUCUUUCACCGGUGGAGAUAAUGACGGUAACCGGAGAAGAAGCCCCGGCUAACUUCGUGCCAGCCGCCGCAGUAACAC